AUCACAAGGAGGGUGACGUAACCAACAAGGAAAGUCCACUUUCCAAUAGAGAAGUGACUUCAUGUUAAGACGGUGUUAUACAACUUCCUGCGUAUGAACCUGAACCAGGCACCAUGGAAAGGGUUACAGGAAAUACCCUACUGAAAUAGCAGUUUGUUAAAUAAGGAAAGCAAAACUAAGAAGCAAUCAGUUCAUAUUUCACAAGCAGCCAGGCAAGACAAGAACAGCAGCAAGAGGUAGUUAUGAGACACACCCUUCUCAGAGAUAAGUGCAGCAGCCCCACAAAGCCUCCUUACCUCGCUAAAGGAACCUACAAGGAAAUGGGAGGAUUUAUUUGAGAAGGAGCUCAGAAGGUAUCAGAAACAGUUACUCAAAGAAGCAAGGGACAAGCACUUCUUCAAAUUGGGGAGAUCAAGUCAGGAGACAUAAGAUGAACCUGUUCACCCAGGAGACUGUGAUACUUUGGCUCCGUGUUGCUGUCACGCUCAGCAACACAGAGCCAACGGCAGAGCUGGUGAAGCUAAGCACUGUUGACUCUCUGAUUGUGCCAUGUCACCAGAGUGUUACCCUCCAAUGCAGAAUCUCCACCUUACAGGAGGGGCUGUCAAUCUAUCAUCUGGCCUGGGUCCUCCAGGACGGGAAGUACCUGUGUGAUGUUAAUGCGACUGGAGUGAUGAGGACCCACCCAGGGAACACACCUAGUGCCAUAGAGUGUAGUUAUACCCCACAGACACAGCUGUCCCUGACUCUGCUGCAGGUACAGCCACUGGAGCAGGGAAAGUACUUGUGCAAGCUGCGCUCCAGCCAUGGAGUAAAGGUGACCACUACAACGGUGAAGCUGCAAGGGUGCUACAGGGAGGCCCAGCCCAGCGUCAGUGAUGAGGGCCCAACCUGCACCUUCACUGAGGUCUACCCUGACGGAGAGGUGCACUGGUUCCAGGGACCCAACAAUGUGACUGGGGACCCUAAAAUCAAAACUAAACAAGUGAAGGAUGGAAAGUUUUUGACAAUAACUAGUUCCCUGAAUAGAAAGACUGUCUCUGGCGAAGGGGCCUACAACUGCUCCCUGUGGAUCCCCAGUACCGGAGCCUAUCUGACCAGCAGCUUGGUACCAGAGCAUGGUGAAGCCAGGGUUGAGGGGCCCAAUGCCAACGGGGCAGGGGCCAUUGGUUCUGUGUGGAAAACCUUUCUAGUCCUCCUGAGUACUCUCUUCCUGGUGUGACGUCUUGAAAACAAACGUUCACAAAUGGACCAGGAAGCGCCAGGAUCAAUUAAUAAGAAUAUGGAAGAGCCAUUGUGUGAGGUUCCUUUCAUGGUCCAAAGGAUUCCUUGGCUGCGUAGAACAAGGAAAUGAUGGCCAGAUGAGAGAGGCUGAUAACCUGGUGCAAAUCAGUGUAUAUGUAAUGGGUAGAACUGUCAACCUAUUGUGAACGCACCCUUGUUGAUCUGCCAGUGCCAGGUAUAUGUGAUUGUUAAUUAAAAACGGCAAGCAGCAGUAGAAACAAUAACAAAGCUUACUUCACCCGCAUUUUGGCAAAAAGCUGAUGGCUGGUGCUGGAGAAAUGUAACCAUUUCAAAUUCAUAGAGAGAGCUUUGGAUGCAUGGACCCGCAAAACACCAGUCUCAACGUCAACAGUGAAGAGGCGACUCUGGGAUGCUGGCCUUCAGGCAGACUUCCUCUGUCCAGUGUCUGUUCUUUUGCCCAUCUUUAAUCUUUUAUUUUUAUUGGCCAGUCUGAGAUAUGGCUUUUUCUUUGCAACUCUGCCUAGAAGGCCAGCAUCCCGGAGUCGCCUUUUCACUGUUGACGUUGAGACUGGUGUUUUGCAGGUACUAUUUAUUGAAGCUGCCAGUUGAGGACUUGUGAGGCGUCUGUUUCUCAAACUAGACACUCUAAUGUACUUGUCCUCUUGCUCAGUUGUGCACCGGGGCCUCCCAUUCCUCUUUCUAUUCUGGUUAGAGACAGUUUGCACUGUUCUGUGAAGGGCAUAGUGCACAGCGUUGUACGAGAUCUUCAGUUUCUUGGCAAUUUCUCGCAUGGAAUAGCCUUCAUUUCUCAGAACAAGAAUAGACUGACGAGUUUCAGAAGAAAAUUCCUUGUUUCUGGCCAUUUUGAGACUGUAAUUGAACCCACAAAUGCUGAUGCUCCAGGUACACAACUAGUCUAAAGAAGGCCAGUUUUAUUGCUUCUUUAAUCAGGACAACAGUUUUCAGCUGUGCUAACAUAAUUGCAAAAGUGUUUUCUAAUGAUCAAUUAGCCUUUUAAAAUGAUGAACUUGGAUUAGCUAACACAACGUGCCAUUGGAACAUAGGAGUGAUGGUUGCUGAUAAUGGGCCGCUGUACGCCUAUGUAGAUAUUCCAUAAAAAAUCUGCCGUUUCCAGCUACAAUAGUCAUUUACAACAUUAACAAUGUCUACACUGUAUUUCUGAUCAAUUUUAUGUUAUUUUAAUGGACAAAAAAAUUGCUUUUCUUUAAAUAACAAGGACAUUUCUAAGUGACCCCAAACUUUUGAACGGUAGUGUGUGUGUGUGUGUGUGUGUGUGUGUGUGUGUGUGUGUGUGUGUGUGUGUGUGUGUGUGUGUGUGUGUGUGUGUGUGUGUGUGUGUGUGUGUAAUUUUUUUAUCAUGUUGUCUGGUCCAUUCCAUUCCUCAAUAGGUGGCCUGUCACAAAUAUAUCUUAUACUAGUUGAGAUGUUCCCCCUCAUUAACAGGAACUUUAGUAGUCUGGUAAUUGUGCUGUUUUAGGUAUCCCUAGUCAGCAGGUGUUCAAUAAACACUGGAUAUACUAAACAUUAGGAACACCUGCUCUUUCCAUGACAUGGACUGAAAAGGUGAAAGCUGUACACACUUAUCGAUGUCAUUUGUUAUAUCCACUUCAAUCAGUGUAGAUGAAGGGGAGGAGACAGGUAAAGGGUUUUUAAGCCUUGAGACAUGGAUUGUGUAUGUGUGCCAUUCAGAGGGUGACUGGGCAAGACUAAAUAUUUAGGUGCCUUUGAACAGGGUAUGGUAAUAGGUGCCAGGCACACCAGUUUGUAUCAAGGAGUGCAACGCUGCUGGGUUUUUUCAUGCUCAAGUUUCCCGUGUGUAACAAGAAUGGUCCACCACCCAAAGGACAUCCAGCCAACUUGACACAACUGUGGAAUGCUUUUGACACCUUGUAGAGUCCAUGCCCUGAUUUUUUAAAUUUCACCUUUAUUUAUGAUGAAUUGAGUGUCUUCUGAGGGCAUAAAGGGAGUGCUACUCAAUAUUAGGAAGCUGUUCCUAAUGUUUUGUACACAGUAUACUGCACAGGUGAUUUCUGAGUUGGCUGGCUGUGUGUGCAUACCAUAAAUUACCUUGUUUGCAUCUUGGAUCUAAAACAAUAGAUGUUUAGGAGAUAUAGAAUGUAAAAUAUUUUAUAAUCAAUUUCUUCAGCUGGACAAAGAAAUACAGGGAAUAGCACUGGGCAAACCGGACAACUGUGUUGAAUCUGUCUCUUGUUGCCAAAUGCUGCUCUCUGCUGGAGUCUAUGCUGCUGCAAUUGUGGCCAACUUCACUUUCAGUAUGAGUGAUCAAAUUACAUGGACUAAAUAUGGGAAAUAGAUGCUCUGGGAUAUACCCCUAAAUAAGAACCUCUCUCCAUUUCUCCUCUAGCCCUUAUGCCACGUUCAUGUGCUAGUCGGAACUAGGAAACAAAAAAAUGUCAGAUUGCUAAUGGGUUGUAUUUAUACACGUGCCUGAUCAUCCAGUUAGCAUGUUGAAAAUGUCCGUGAACGCGCCAUUAGUAUGGGGUCCAAAGGUUAUCUAUACACAGUGACCCAUCUCACCCUCUUGGGCUAAGUGCAUUGUUUCUCCUAACCUUUGGGGCAAAACACUUCUUCGUCCAUUUAAACAAGGUUUUUGGGAGGCUUUUCAAGUCUGACUGCUUUGCUCAAAUGGUCCUGUUAAAGUCAACGCUAGACGGGGUCUGGCUGUGCUUUUAAUGAGACAGGUUAAAAAUGCCCUCUGUCAAGACUGGACUAUUAGGGUCAUGCUGUACUAGGAAAGUUCUGUCAAUGUCCUGUUAACUCACACACACACACACACACACACACACACACACACACACACACACACAACACCUUAUUGUCACUGAGGAACCUAAUAGUUCCUCAUGAGAGGUGCAGUGUGUACUCGGCAGGCCAAACAGUUGCAAAAAAGGAACGUUUUGCAACGACAACAAAAGUUUCUAUUGGAGAAAUGCAGGUAGUUCUGUCCCCGUUUCGUUCUGUUGCUUCUGUUCAAGAAAAGAUUUGCAACAGGAUCGGCAUAAUGAACACGCCUCCUGGUCUGUAGGUUUGGCCACAACUCUAUAUCUAUGUGCCGGAUGGUUCAUAUAAUGUGAACAGGCUAAGCAGUUGAUGGAAAACAUGUGAAAUCAGUCUGAAGCUAUCAGUGUGAUUCUCAUAUAGACAUUAAAUGUGCUUGUUGCACCCUCAACAACUACUAUGAUUAUUAUUAUUUGACCAUGCUGGUCAUUAAUGAACAUUUUAACAUCUUGACCAUGUUCUGUUAUAAUAUCCACCCGGCACAGCCAGAAGAGGACUGGCCACCCCUCAUAGCCUGGUUCCUCUCUAGGUUUCUUCCUAGGUUUUUGGCCUUUCUAGGGAGUUUUUCCUAGGGAGUUUUUCCUAGCCACUGUGCUUCUACACCUGCAUUGCUUGCUGUUUGGGGUUUUAGGCUGGGUUUCUGUACAGCACUUUGAGAUUUCAGCUGAUGUACGAAGGGCUAUAUAAAUAAAUUUGAUUUGAUUAACACUGCAUGCUAAAGGAGUCAGAGGUUCCUGCAUGUGGUUAACAUUUGAAAGUCCACUGGAUGUAAUUUUUUUUUACAGUAAAUAACACUAAACAUCAUCCAAUUCCAUUAGUAACGGAUGCUAUGAAUGUAUAUUAAGAGUUGUCUGUGUUUUCCUUCUCAACUGUCGGAUAUAGACGUGGUGCUACCCGAAUUCAAUGUUCCGCAUGCACUAAAACGAUAAGAUGUUCAAAUCAAGACACUGUCCAUCAUCACAAAUCGUCAUCAUGAUACAUUAUGAUUUACACUGCUGACUAAACUCCACGGUGAAGGAAGUUUCUGAUGAACUUCACCAACGACGUGGAGCCGAGACCAGGCUUUGUGGAAUCCAGCUCCGAUGACAUCGAUUCGCCCAAGGUCGAUACUUCAAAACAUUUCAUUAUGAAACGCUAACCUCGUACCUAUGUUUUGUCAUCUUCGGUUGCUGAAAACAAUACUUUUUCAAUAAACGUUAAUCAAAUACUACCACCGACUGGUUCCUUGUUGAGAUUCAAUGGGGAUGUGCAUUUGCGCUGAGUUGUCAUCUUAGAGCGAAAGCAAUGAGCAAACAGUCAGUGGCUGUAUUUGAUUAACGUUUAUUGAAAAAGUUUGGAUUUCAGCAAACUAAGAAAGGCAUUCAACCCGCAGAGAUAAAACACAGGU
ensembl:lncRNA uncharacterized LOC115208644